CUACGGGCGGCAGCAGUGGGGAAUAUUGCACAAUGGGCGCAAGCCUGAUGCAGCAACGCCGCGUGAGGGAUGAAGGCCUUCGGGUUGUAAACCUCUUUUAGCAGGGAAGAAGCGAAAGUGACGGUACCUGCAGAAAAAGCACCGGCUAACUACGUGCCAGCAGCCGCGGUAAUACGUAGGGUGCAAGCGUUGUCCGGAAUUAUUGGGCGUAAAGAGCUCGUAGGCGGUUUGUCACGUCUGCUGUGAAAAUCCAAGGCUCAACCUUGGACUUGCAGUGGGUACGGGCAGGCUAGAGUGCGGUAGGGGAGAUGGGAAUUCCUGGUGUAGCGGUGGAAUGCGCAGAUAUCAGGAGGAACACCAAUGGCGAAGGCACAUCUCUGGGCCGUAACUGACGCUGAGGAGCGAAAGCGUGGGGAGCAAAUAGGAUUAGAUACCCCUGUAGUC
rnacentral:rRNA from 1 species